CAGCUGCACUCACCUUGUUAGCUGCCAGGUGAGACACGGAAAAGACAUUCAGUCCUCAGAAUUGAUUCCACUCUCGCGUUGAAUAAAGCAGCUCGUUUAUCACUCUCGUGCUACCUGAGUGAUUGGAAGGCAGGGUUUUGCAGUAUUUCUGUAAUCCGCACAGCUGGAAACUUUGCCUGGGUAUUAUUUGCUCAAAAAUUUCAGUCAUUGUUUCUGGUCGUGUGUGUAAUGCAGGCUACAUCAGUGCCAACAAGAGCUGACCCAAUGGAGUUAUGGCUGAUUUCUUAUCUGUUUGAGCCACAGCCGUUUUCAGGCUUGGAAAAUCUAUCUAUUUUUUUAAAAAGUUUGUAAAUUAAAAAAAACAAACACUUGAAUGGAUGCCAGUAUGAAACACCGAUGAGCUAAACUGUCUGGACAGCAUAGCCAAAAUGUUGCAGCAUGACUGUAUACUUUUACAGUAUCUAGAGUUGCAUGGAUAUUAUAGUUUUUAAACUAUUUCUAAUCUUAAUUUUUAACACAGUUGAAAUCUCAUCUCACAAGUUUUAAUUCAAAUGUAAAUGUAAGGACACUAAAGAAGCAAGACAGGUUUCUUGUCUGAUCUCAAAACCCUUUAAGCUCUACGGCAACCACUUUCCUCGUUGUGGAGGUGUAGCUCCAGUAGUUUGGUUGUGACAUCUCCCACUGAGGGCAUGGCAGCGGUGUUACCACAUGCAAGCAGGCGUCAGUAUGUCAGGUAUGUUGGUCAACUAGAUCAACUCAGCCAUUCUCAGAUUAAGGGUGUAACUCUGUACUUUACUGGAGAUUGGCAAGGUUUAUUAAACAUGCUGUCAAUAAAACACUAACUGACAUACAAGUAUUGCACAAUGAAUCCACUGAGCACAUGAUGUUGUCAUGUUUUAGAUACGAGUCACAGAUAAUGAGAUGAAAACUACAAAGUAUUUGUUUUAUAUCAAAGGAAAAAUAUUGCAUGUUGGGUUAUAUUAAAUAUACACUUUUGUAUCUUUUCCAAAAGAAAUACACAUGAUAAAUAAACGAUACAAUUAUUACUGUA